CAAAACCUCGAAUUCGGGCAGAAAUGAUACAGAUAUUCCGGUAAAAUGUGCUAACCUUAGACCUUUUUACCAUGUAUUUCCAUCAUUCUACCCUCAAAAUUAGUUGUAAUCCAUGUAAAAACGUGUAGCAGGGCUGCCAACCAUUACGAUUUAUGCGGAAUCAUUACGAUUUUCCAUCUCUUAUUACGCUAUUACACCGCGUUUUCCUGUUUUUUUUUUUUUUUUUUUUUUGUAAUAACCUACCACCCCUACAAAUCACAUAAAUUGGACUCGCCCAACUAGCCGCAAAUGCGCACGGAAGUUUUUUUUUGCGUGCGCAACGCACUUCGGGAUAGACGUAGCUUGUGAAACGACGCCAUUUAGUAAAGAUGUCGAAAAAACGCGAACGAUCAGAGCCAUAUGAACUGUGCAAAGCUCAGAAAAAGCCAAAAGUAGUACAGAAGUAUAAACAGGACUACAGCAAUGAGUGGCCUGUUUUGAAGGCCAGUUCUAUUCCGACGACGACAACAUCUCCAUGGCUGCUGGCCUCUACUAAAGUGCUGCAAUGACAAAUGCAGAAAAUAAAGAUGUCAUACUAAAAAUA